rnacentral:rRNA from 1 species
UCUCAGUUCGGAUUGGAGUCUGCAACCCGACUCCAUGAAGCUGGAUUCGCUAGUAAUCGCGCAUCAGCCACGGCGCGGUGAAUACGUUCCCGGGCUUGUACACACCGCCCGUCAAGCCAUGAAAGCCGGGGGUACCUGAAGUGCGUAACCGCAAGGAGCGCCCUAGGGUAAAACUGGUGAUUGGGGCUAAGUCGUAACAAGGUAUC